rnacentral:lncRNA from 1 species
GGGUGAGCAGUGCUGCAGUCAGCAUUAGGGAAGCUAGGAGCAACAAAAGAACCAGAGGACUGAGUCACUGUGCCCGCUGGCCUUUCCGGAUACGCUGGAGAGCGUGACCACAGAUGAGGACUGUUUCUCCCUGGGCAACUGCUGAGUCAAAGGCUGUAUUGUUGCCGGAGCCCAUUGAUGGACAUUCCCGUUUGCCUCUCAGCAAACAGCUGCCCUAGUUUAUAAAUUAAGGAUUCAAAACACCAUCUCUCCAGAAGUUAUUUCCCCCAGGAUUUUUUUUGAUUGUCAUGAGCUCAUUUCUCCUUAGGGUUGCCUUGUGCAUUCAGCUACAUGGUGUAGUUGCUAACGAAGAUGAAGAUGUGACUCCUGCAACAAUAUAGGGAUUUCUUGGAACGCUGGGAGGGCUCUUUUUAUAAUUUAUGUCAACACUGAGCUGAGCGGGUGCCAGUGCGCAUGAAUACAUGACGCCUUCCUAUUCUCUAACUAUAAUCCAGCAAGUCUCGCUGUGGGUUGCCCCCUGCUCUUUAGGUAUCCUGCAAACAGGACUUCAAGGCAAAGGCGCUGGGUUUGGAGGUAAAAGGAAGAGAAAAAUAAAGUUGCUUGGGCA